UACGAAGGGUGCAAGCGUUACUCGGAAUUACUGGGCGUAAAGCGUGCGUAGGCGGCUUGGUAAGUCCGCUGUGAAAGUCCAGGGCUCAACCCUGGAAUGCCGGUGGAAACUGUCAAGCUUGAGUCCGGAAGAGGCGAGUGGAAUUCCUGGUGUAGCGGUGAAAUGCGCAGAUAUCAGGAGGAACACCAAUGGCGAAGGCAGCUCGCUGGGACGGUACUGACGCUGAGACGCGAAAGCGUGGGGAGCAAACAGG
rnacentral:rRNA from 1 species